GACGAACCGAGCGAACGUUAUUCGGAAUCACUGGGCUUAAAGGGCGCGUAGGCGGGCCGUCAAGUCGAGGGUGAAAUCCCCCAGCUCAACUGGGGAAGUGCCUCCGAUACUGGCGGCCUCGAGGGGGAUAGGGGCAUGCGGAACUUCCGGUGGAGCGGUGAAAUGCGUAGAUAUCGGAAGGAACACCGGUGGCGAAAGCGGCGUGCUGGAUCCCUUCUGACGCUGAGGCGCGAAAGCCAGGGGGAGCGAACGGG
rnacentral:rRNA from 1 species